AACGAGUGUACUGAGGGUAAAAACCUGUAGAUCAUGUUCUAUGAAGUUCCCAUAGUCUUAAUCCCAUCUAUCAGAUAUUAUAGGCUAGAAUGACUGACUCAUCAAAGCAUAAUAUUCUCAAGAGAAACUCGUCUGAGUGUAGUAUCACGUAACAACUGUUAUCAAGUCUACACUUGAAGAGUCUUCGCACUGCGUCUUAA
rnacentral:lncRNA from 1 species